UACGUAGGUGGCAAGCGUUGUCCGGAUUUACUGGGCGUAAAGAGCGCGCAGGCGGUCGUUCACGUCUCGUGUGAAAGCCCCCGGCUCAACUGGGGAGGGUCACGCGAUACUGAUCGACUCGAAGGCAGGAGAGGGAAGUGGAAUUCCCGGUGUAGUGGUGAAAUGCGUAGAUAUCGGGAGGAACACCAGUGGCGAAGGCGACUUCCUGGCCUGUUCUUGACGCUGAGGCGCGAAAGCUAGGGGAGCAAACGGG
rnacentral:rRNA from 1 species